CGCUGGCGGUAUGCCUAAUACAUGCAAGUCGAACGCUGAAGCACUCUGCUUGCAGAGUGUGGAUGAGUGGCGAACGGGUGAGUAACACGUGGGGAACCUGCCCAUAAGAGGGGGAUAACAUCCGGAAACGGGUGCUAAUACCGCAUAGGUGAUCAUAGCGCAUGCUUAGAUCAUUAAAGAUGGCUUCGGCUAUCGCUUAUGGAUGGCCCCGCGGCGUAUUAGCUAGUUGGUGAGGUAAUGGCUCACCAAGGCUGCGAUACGUAGCCGACCUGAGAGGGUGAUCGGCCACACUGGAACUGAGACACGGUCCAGACUCCUACGGGAGGCAGCAGUAGGGAAUCUUCCACAAUGGGCGAAAGCCUGAUGGAGCAAUACCGCGUGAGUGAAGAAGGUCUUCGGAUCGUAAAGCUCUGUUGUUAGAGAAGAACAAGAGGUGUAGUAACUGGCACCUCCUUGACGGUAUCUAACCAGAAAGUCACGGCUAACUACGUGCCAGCAGCCGCGGUAAUACGUAGGUGACAAGCGUUGUCCGGAUUUAUUGGGCGUAAAGCGAGCGCAGGCGGUCUUUUAAGUCUGAUGUGAAAGCCCACGGCUCAACCGUGGAGGGUCAUUGGAAACUGGAAGACUUGAAUGCAGAAGAGGAAAGUGGAAUUCCAUGUGUAGCGGUGAAAUGCGUAAAUAUAUGGAGGAACACCAGUGGCGAAGGCGACUUUCUGGUCUGUAAUUGACGCUGAGCUCGAAAGCGUGGGGAGCGAACAGGAUUAAAUACCCUGGUUA
rnacentral:rRNA from 1 species